rnacentral:rRNA from 1 species
CAGGCCUAACACAUGCAAGUCGAACGAAGGCUUCGGCCUUAGUGGCGCACGGGUGCGUAACGCGUGGGAAUCUGCCCUUGGGUUCGGAAUAACAGCGAGAAAUUGCUGCUAAUACCGGAUGAUGACGUAAGUCCAAAGAUUUAUCGCCCAGGGAUGAGCCCGCGUAGGAUUAGCUAGUUGGUGAGGUAAAGGCUCACCAAGGCGACGAUCCUUAGCUGGUCUGAGAGGAUGAUCAGCCACACUGGGACUGAGACACGGCCCAGACUCCUACGGGAGGCAGCAGUGGGGAAUAUUGGACAAUGGGCGAAAGCCUGAUCCAGCAAUGCCGCGUGAGCGAUGAAGGCCUUAGGGUUGUAAAGCUCUUUUACCCGGGAUGAUAAUGACAGUACCGGGAGAAUAAGCUCCGGCUAACUCCGUGCCAGCAGCCGCGGUAAU